rnacentral:piRNA from 1 species
UGAGUACAAUAGCAGGGCCUCAUACAUCAUU